UGGCUCAGUUGGGAGAGCAUGGUGCUUGUAACUCCAGGGUUGUGGGGUUGAUUCCCAC
rfam:Salmo salar isolate Sally breed double haploid chromosome ssa16, whole genome shotgun sequence.